UCAGAUUGAACGCUGGCGGCAGGCCUAACACAUGCAAGUCGAACGGUAACAGGAAGAAGCUUGCUUCUUUGCUGACGAGUGGCGGACGGGUGAGUAAUGUCUGGGAAACUGCCUGAUGGAGGGGGAUAACUACUGGAAACGGUAGCUAAUACCGCAUAACGUCGCAAGACCAAAGAGGGGGACCUUCGGGCCUCUUGCCAUCGGAUGUGCCCAGAUGGGAUUAGCUAGUAGGUGGGGUAACGGCUCACCUAGGCGACGAUCCCUAGCUGGUCUGAGAGGAUGACCAGCCACACUGGAACU
rnacentral:rRNA from 1 species